rnacentral:rRNA from 1 species
CCUACGGGAGGCAGCAGUGAGGAAUAUUGGUCAAUGGGCGAGAGCCUGAACCAGCCAAGUCGCGUGAGGGAUGACGGCCCUAUGGGUUGUAAACCUCUUUUAUAAGGGAAUAAAGUGUGGGACGUGUCCCUUUUUGUAUGUACCUUAUGAAUAAGGAUCGGCUAACUCCGUGCCAGCAGCCGCGGUAAUACGGAGGAUCCGAGCGUUAUCCGGAUUUAUUGGGUUUAAAGGGUGCGUAGGCGGGCUUUUAAGUCAGGGGUGAAAGUUUGGGGCUCAACCGUAGAAGUGCAGUUGAAACUGGAAGGCUUGAGUAGGGUAGAGGUAGGCGGAAUGCGAGGUGUAGCGGUGAAAUGCGUAGAUAUCACGAAGAACCCCGAUUGCGAAGGCAGCUUGC